rnacentral:lncRNA from 1 species
AAGCAAACUUCCCGAGACGUCCCCAGAAAGCGCGGAGUCGACUCUCUCAGGGGAUUCUAGAGAAAUUGUUUUUCGGUGAUAAAACUGCGGAGUCGUCCCCGACGUCGCGGAGUCGUCCCCAUGCAAAAAGCGCAAACAUCCCGAGACGUCCCCGUAAAGUACCGAGCCGACUCUCUCAGAAAAACAGAAAAACAAGCAUUCAAGCUGCUCUUCUUCAGAGACGUCCCC